AAGGAUUUAAGUUAAUCAAUCAAACUAAUAGCCUUCAAAGCUAUAAAUAAAGAUAAGAGCUUUAAGCCUUA
rnacentral:tRNA from 1 species